rnacentral:misc_RNA from 1 species
CUUCUGAGCAAUAUGUUGAGGCUUUCAAUCCAGUUAAUUUUGUUGGAGGGGCAUGUAAUUUUUUUUAUUUGCAUUUAAAAAGAGGAGGUUAAAAUGGCCAACCAUGAUUUGAUGUGGGAACAGAGUCUCAAAUAAAUAUGGAUCUUGGGCAUCUGGGCCGUUGGUUAGCUUCUCUUAAAAAAUUGUUAUCAAUUUACUGUCUGGGGCUCUUGCAUAUGAAGGUGUCAAUGCAUUGAAUUUGC